rnacentral:rRNA from 1 species
GAUGAACGCCAGCGGCAGGCUUAACACAUGCAAGUCGAGGGGUAUAGUUCUUCGGAGCUAGAGACCGGCGCACGGGUGCGUAACGCGUAUGCAAUCUACCUUUUGCAGAGGGAUAGCCAGAGAAAUUUGGAUUAAUACCUCAUGGUAUGUGAGAAUGGCAUCAUUUUCACAUUAAAGUCACAACGGCAAAAGAUGAGCAUGCGUCCCAUUAGCUAGUUGGUAAGGUAACGGCUUACCAAGGCAACGAUGGGUAGGGGUCCUGAGAGGGAGAUCCCCCACACUGGUACUGAGACACGGACCAGACUCCUACGGGAGGCAGCAGUGAGGAAUAUUGGACAAUGGGCGCAAGCCUGAUCCAGCCAUGCCGCGUGCAGGAUGACGGUCCUAUGGAUUGUAAACUGCUUUUGUACAGGAAGAAACACUGGUUCGUGAACCAGCUUGACGGUACUGUAAGAAUAAGGAUCGGCUAACUCCGUGCCAGCCGCCGCGGUAAGAC